AUGAGAACGUGCCCUUCGGGGUAGAUCUCCCACCCUGUGUCUACACUACCUUUGUUGCUUUGGCAGACCCGCCCUCGGGCCGCCGGCUCCGGCUGGCCAGCGUCUGCCAGAGGAUUCAAAACUCUUGUUAUCAUUGCCGUCUGAGUACUAUACAAUAGUUA
rnacentral:misc_RNA from 1 species